GAGAAUGAGUAGACAGUGUAGAUGGCUAAGGAAAAAGACAUGAAAGCGAUGAGGCAGAGAAUGAGUAUCAGAAUGCAUGGGCAGCGUAUGUGAAGCAGCAGCGGUUGACAAGACGAAUGAUAAUGAAUGCUAAAGUGAAGAGUGAAAGGAGUGUGAUUCAAUCUUUAAGGGAGAAAGGUAUGGAAGGUGGCCGUGAAUGGUACAAGUUCAUGAGAGGUGAGAAUAUGUCAGGCAGUGUUGGUGUGGAGAGUCUAAAAGUGUAUGGUGUAGUUAUAACAGAGAAGGAUGGAAUCAGGGAGGCAAUCAAAGGGUUCUGGGAAGAAGUAGGUGGGGUAGGUGAGAUGUUUAGUGUGAGAGAAGAAUGUGUAACACAGGAAAGGAAGAAUGCAGAUGAACUGGAUGAAAGAAUCAGUAGGGAUGAAGUGGAGAGAAUUGAGGCUUGAGAGAAUGGAUGAUGCAAGAAUAGCAAGGAAGGUGUACCUGUGGAAUGAAAGUGGAAGCAAAUGGAGGAAGAGAUGCAUGAGAAUGACAGACAGGAGUGGAUUGCAAGUUGUGUGGGCGAUAAGAAUGGCUGGGAGGAAUCAAAAUGAGCGUGAAUGGGUGGUAACAAGAGGAGGCAGAGUGAGAGCUGAAUGGGAUGUGAGAAAAUGGAAGAAUGAGAUAGACAAUGAAGUGGAAUGUGUGGGACUGAAUGAAUGGAAGAAUGAGAUGGAAAGAAAGAAGACCCUGGAAUGGUACAAGGAGAAAGAGGCCCCGAGGUAUGAAAGGUGGUAUGAUGGAAGCCUGGGCGGUGAUCUUCUCUUCCUAGCGAGGGCACAGUGUAUGGAUGUGAAUGCGAGGAGUUACAGGUGGUCUGAGUCCCUGUGCCAGAUGUGUGACAUGGGAGAGGAUGAGACGGUGGAACAUGUGGUGCUGGAGUGUGUGCAGUAUGCCAGAGACAGGAAUGAGAUGAUGCAAGUGAUACUGACUGAGUUAGGGCAUGAUACGAAUGAAAGAGUGGAGAACACAGGAAAGGAGUGGAUGGUGUUGUUGCUGGGACUGUGUAGAGAGGCCAAUGAAAGGAUGAUUGAGGCGGUGAAAGAGUUUCUGGAGAGAAUGUGGCGUGCCAGGUGUAGGAACAAUUAGUAUAGAGGAUGCUGUUCGUUUCUCUCUUUUUUUUCCCCCUUCUACAGGAGUUGCCGAUUCAGAGGCCUGACACAGGAGUGAUCCUGUGCCACCUACACCAUCAAGAUCAAGAUCAAGACAACAGUUCCCUCGUGUUUACUACCACAGUGCAUAGAAAUCUUAUCUUUUUUCGCAAAUUUCUCAAGUAAUUCCCCACCCCGGAGGCCGCCCCCAGUACCCCAGUUCCCUGCAUCCAUGGUUUAUAUUGUUAUUCUUCAAGAGGGGAGAGAGGCAAGGGACGAGAGACGCAAGGGAGAGAGACAGAGUUGACCCGUGUGGCUCCUCUCUGGUGGUGAAAGCAAGUGACGGCAAGAUGGUGAUGGUGACCCUGCCCAACCCCCUCCAGGAAAACUUGGAGGGGGUGACUGAGGGAGGGGCGGGGUGUGGGUCAGGGGCAGAAGGUGACGUGCCAGAGUGACGUCACGUUCCCCCAAAUGCAGGCCGGCAAGUUUGACAAGGGGCACUACCUCUAUGCAGACAAAACCUAACCAACCAGCUUAACCUGAGUCGCCCCUGGAACCGCCCCACCACAGAGGAGGAGGAGGAGGAGGAGGAGGAGGAGGAGACAGUCAUGGAUGAAGGGACGUCACAGAUCAUGCACAUUUGCUUCCAUAUUGGGUGAGAGACUGCAUUGUUUGUGAAGAAGACGAGGAGGAAGAUAGUUUUUCAUCUCAAUUGCACAGAAUAUUCAAUAAUUGGUCUGUUUCAUGAAGGUAAUGUACUUUCUCAAGGUAGUUUUUCAUCUCAAUUCUUGCACAGAAUAUUCAAUAAUUUCUCUUUUUAUGAAGACACUUUCCUCAGCCUUUAUUCACACAUCACUCAAAUAUUGUCAAACCAUCUUUUAAAUCCUCAGCCUUUAUUCACACAUCACUCAAAUAUGUCAAACCAUCUUUUAAAUCCUCACCCUUUAUUCACACAUCACUCAAAUAUUGUCAAACCAUCUUUUAAAUCCUCAGCCUUUAUUCACACUUCACUCAAAUGUGUGUAACCAUCUUUCAAAGCUCCUGUAUUGCUGAGUCAUUAGAGAGCCUUAAAAGAAGACAGUCAGAUUUAUGGAUGGGGAUGACAGGUGAAAAUAGACAGGUGUUUUUUGUACAGGGACUUCCACGUGGAUAGAGGAUCAACCUGCCAACCAAGUCGCGGUGGAAACUGGCGUACAGCUGUGCCUGAGCCUGCCGUGGACGCAUUUCCCAGCCCCCGAACUGAACGGUCAACCUGCCGCCAAUCUCAACUUCAACCAGAACAGCUCGGACACGGCUGGCCAGGACAACCACCGCAACACAGACAUGCACGCACCUGAUAUGGACAUGAAAAUGGAGGGACAGGAGUCCCACGUGAUGGUGUCCGACAGGGAUGCCUCAGUGCAGGAGGGGGAACGGCAGGCAGAGACCCGCAAGUGCCCCUGGGAGAAGCCUGGAGUUAACCGAGCCAAUGAAAGCAGAAUCAAACUUUCCAUUCCAGUCAACUGAACCUGUGAAAGUUCCCAAUCCGGCCAAGCAGGUCUCAGAAGGUGCGGCGUCCAUGCACCCCGUGAUGGUGCUGCACCAGAUGAAGCCUGGCCUGCUGUACAACACUAACCAGACCACCAGGGAUAACAAGCCUUUCUUCACCGUCACCGCCGACAUCGAUGGCAAGGAGUUCUCAGGCAAGGGGACAAAUGUGAAGAAAGCCAAGUUCUUCCUGGCCAACACAGCAAUACUGGGACUGUACGGGGUAGAAUCCACCUUUGAGAUCUCCGCUUAAUAGAAGUACUAGCUGCCUGGGUACUGGCGGCGGUGUGCGGGGCAGGCGGUCCCUCGCACACGUGGCUGUAGAGUCUGCUACGUGAUAAUGACAAAGUAGAUAGGUAGCUACAUAGUAUUUUAACCUGAAGUCCUGUCUGUGAGUGUUGUCUUGUAUGUUGCUGCUUGCUGAAGGCAGGGAAUGUACUGAACUGGACCUGAGUGGCUUACAAAACUCCUGUGGAAGGGAAGUGAUGGUCUGUGCUAAAUGUUGCAGUCUGACGAGUGACGUGGAAUUCAAUUUUUCCACGUGUAAAUUCUUCCAGUCCAGUGUUUACCUUUAUUUUGUUCCAGCUCUGUUACUUAGUGCCAGAGUUAGAAGACUGACAUUUAACGGAAUUCUUAUUUAUGAUUUUGACGUACUUUCUUUUCCCAUUUAUUUACUUAGCCCAUGAAGUGUGGGUGCUCCUUGUAAAUGGUCGGUGCUGAGCCUGCCAUGAAUGCAAAUCAAAUGCAGCUGAUUGUGAAAGACAGGCACAGGAGAAGGGGUCAGUCACUCAUUCCUGCUUGUGUCAGAUCACUCAUCUAGUGUUCUGCUGUGGAGUGGAGUGGGUGAUGAGAGGGCUGUGGUGAUGGGACAGUGACAGACAAGCCCUACUUACUGAAAACAAAAGUGUGCGAACUCAUCACAUCAACACUUAUUUAGCUUCCUGACAAAAAUGGCAUCCAGUUUCAGAUGUUUAAGGUAUUUAACUCAUCUAUUUAUUUAAAGGUACCCACUCUUUAUGGGUUAAAUGAAAGCUGUACUCUAGUUUAGCAGUCAGUCUCACCACUUGGUUUAAUGUGAGCAGGUAAGGAAGCCCUAGAACCUGGCCCUUGGUUAGGUUCUGGUGACUUCUGGCUGGAAUCUCAGUACCUUAAUUUCUCUUCUGGUUGAAACUUUCUCCUCAAACACAACUGGCUGGAGCUGAGUCCUGGGAUGGUCAGCUGUUUAAAUAUUACUACACAAAAUGUUAUGAGUUUGAAUACAUAAUGAAAAUUUCUUUAAUGUGUAUGUAUGUAAAGGUUAUAAAAGCAAGUAUUUUUUUUCUUUUUCAAUUUUUGUAUAUAAUUGAGGUUAAGAUGAAUUUGAAACAUUGAUUGCAAUUUAUCAAGCUGGUGUUUUUGGUUUUGAAGGAAGUGUAAGUGCAAGAGGUAUGAAUUUGAAACAUUGAUUGCAAUUUAUCAAGCUGGUGUUGGUUUUGGUUUUGAAGGAACUGCAAUUGUGCAAGAGGUAUGAAUUUGAUCAGAGUGGAAUUAAUGAAGCAGUUUACCACACCAGUAUUGUCAUUCCUGCUCCCUGUGUGUCCACCUUACCUCUCACACCCUGACGUUUGCCUCAACGCCUUCAUUUAUCACCAAUGCAGUUAGGUAAAUUAUCACUUAUUACUAUUUUCUCAUAUGAAUUCAGAAACACUGUCAGCUUAUCAAAUAGUGUAUCUGUUAAUAUAACCUUUUGUAGGCAACUUGUCCUGUAACCACCUAUGACAUUUUAGGCUCAUUUUUGUACCAGCCUCUUCAACAGUUCUAUAGCUUAUGGAAAACUAAAUUAACUUCCUAUUCUCUCAUUUCCUCUGUCCAUACCAGCAGUUCUCAUAGUACUCUCAAUGUUGAAGGAUGAUAGCAGUCCAAGGGCAGAGCUAGUGAGUUUCUUUGAGUCUCCCCAAUAAUUGUUUUCUUUUGUAGCUUGCGGUGAAGAGGAGGAUAAUAGCGGUAAUUAAAGGUUUAGUGAUUAUAUGAAAAAAGUAUUUUUAUAAGGCGUGUAUUCGUGGGAGUGAUUUAAAAGUCUUGAAACAUUUAUUAUAAAUAGUCUUUACUUAUUUCAACUGUAGUUUUCUCUAAUCAAUGGUAAUACGAAUAAUAGAAUUACAUCAUGUUGCGUCAGCCUACCAGUAACUCAUAAGGUAUCAUACCCUAGCUUAUAAAAUAUGUUAGUAAUUUAGAAUUCAAUUAUUAACUUCAACUAAUGUCCAGCCUAUAUGCUCACCUUGCUAGCCAAUUAUUCCUGCAUUUUUAUUUAAACUCACGGUUCAGUAAAAUUAUUUGUGAAAGAAGAGAGAGAGAGAGAACUAGCUAAGGUUCCAAUAACUUCAGAUGCCUGUGGGUGUUGAGGGAGAGAGCACAAAAUGGCGUCUCCCUUCCCUCUGGCAACAGUGUUGCCACGGUGACGGUGGUGGUGGGCAUGACACAGAUGCGGGAGGUGGAGUUUGUGCCCGAUGGAGACAUGCAGGUGGACAAAUUGUGUUGGUCAUUGGUCAGACUGGAGUUUACAUGUGUACCUCCUUCACCAUCAUUGGUGGACACUUCACCUUGAGUGAUGCUUGAGCUGUCAUGGUGUUGCUGGUGCUGUGUGCCAUCAUCACCCUGACACAGACCACCCUGCAGACACCUUCAUCCUGGGUGUCACACGUCGCUGCUGCUACAACUCAGAGCAACAAGAGCGCAAGCCAGGAAGGGAAAUGUGUGCAGGUUUGCAGUAAACCUCCCUGAAGGUUCCAGAGCUGCUCAGCAAGUGUCCAGUCCAGGCUGUCACAAGACUGUGUGAUGGUGGACCUUCCAAUGAUACUCACUGAAAACAGCUGUGCACUGCCACUCACAGGAAGUGGUGACCACUCUAGAUUGAGUUGCCUUGAAGCUGAGAUGAGUUGGUCAGCUAGUGAGUGGCUUCAAUCAAGUGACUGUGAGGUGUUGGCUUCAAUAAAGUGACUGUGAGGUGUUGCCUUCAAUCAAGUGACUGUGAGGUGUUGGCUUCGAUCAAGUGACUGUGAGGUGUUGGCUUCGAUCAAGUGACUGUGAGGUGUUGGCUUCGAUCAAGUGACUGUGAGGUGUUGGCUUCGAUCAAGUGACUGUGAGGUGUUGGGCAUGGUAUUGUGUUAUUGCAAGUGUAACCAUUAAUAAGUAAGUUCUUUCCUUAUAACUCUUCAUACAUGGAUUGCCAUACAUGGACGGAUAAGGCCCUUGUACAGAGUCAUCAGCUGGGGGUGAGAAAAACUGGUGGAGACGUCUCAGAACGCCUAACUUCACAGAAGCUGUUUUAGCUAGAGAUGAAAUGUGAAGUUUCUAGUUUAGAUCAUAAGUAAAGGACAGACCAAGGAUGUUCAGUGUAGAAGAGGGGGACAGUUGAGUGUCAUUGAAGAAGAGGGGAUAGUUUGGAAGACUGUGUUGAGUUGAUAGAUGGAGGAAUUGAGUUUUUGAUGCACUGAACAAUACCAAGUUUGCUCUGCCCCAAUCAGAAAUUUUAGAGAGAUGAGAAGUGAGGCGUUCUGUGGCUUCCCUGCGUGAACUGUUUACUUCCUGAAGGGUUGGAUGUCUAUGAAAAGACAUGGAAAAGUGCAGGGUGAUGUCAUCAGCGUAGGAGUGGAUAGGACAAGAAGUAUGGGUUAGAAGAUCAUUAAUGAAUAAUAAGAGAGUGGGUGACAGGACAGAACCCUGAGGAACACCACUGUUAAUAGAUUUAGCAGAAGAACAGUGACCGUCUACCACAGCAGCAAUAGAAUGGUCAGAAAGGAAACUUGAGAUGAAGUUACAGAGAGAAGGAUAGAAACUGUAGGAGGGUAGUUUGGAAAUCAAAGCUUUGUGCCAGACUCUAUCAAAGGCUUUUGAUAUGUCCAAGGCAACAGCAAAAGUUUCACCAAAAUCUCUAAAAGAGGAUGACCAAGACUCAGUAAGGAAAGCCAGAAGAUCACCAGUAGAGCGGCCUUGACGGAAUCCAUACUGGUGAUCAGAUAGAAGGUUGUGAAGUGAUAGAUGUUUAAGAAUCUUCCUGUUGAUGAUAGAUUCAAAAACUUUAGAUAGGCAGGAAAUUAAAGCAAUAGGACUGUUGUUUGAGGGAUUAAAACUACUACUACUACUACUACUACUACUACUACUACUACUACUACUACUACUACUACUCACAUCUUGCCUGACUGCCAGACCAACAUUUACUGUGUAGAAAUGGCACAGUCUACUCCUUUAGUUCUUUUCCUUUCUAGAAUGUGCAUAUCAGUGUACCCUGUCGUGCCUCCCAUGCUGUGUAAUGCUGCAGUGUUGAUUGUGUGUGUGUGUUUCCCUCAGGUGGUACUGUGGAUAGCAAGCGGAAGAGACCUUGGGAGACUUCCGUUAAUGAGGAGCAACAGUCACACCUCACUGGAGUCUUUCAGGAACCAACAGUCAGGGCCUGAUGUGAAGGUGUCUGCAGCCAGUGUUUGGUGUCCUCUGUGCCUGCCUGGUGGUGCCUCAUUGCAGGGCUGAUGUGAAGGUGUCUGCUGCCAGUGUUUGGUGUCCUCUGUGCCUGCCUGGUGGUGCCUCAUUGCAGGGCCUGAUGUGAAGGUGUCUGCAGCCAGUGUUUGGUCUCCUCUGUGCCUGGUGGUGCCUCAUUGCAGGGCCUGAUGUGAAGGUGUCUGCAGCCAGUGUUUGGUGUCCUCUCUUCCUGGUGGUGCAGCCUGAUGUGUUGCCUGCUUCAGUGUAAAUCUUGCAAGCCAGAUCUGCCAGCUGUCUCCAGUGUAGUAGUCUAGGGUGCUUUGCUUUGUGUCUUUGGCAAUAAAUAAAUUUGUGAGUAUCAUUCUCAUGUGAAUUAUAUAGUUUGAUAAAAUUACAGAAUGUGCUUGGGUAAACUAAAUUUAUAUAUUGGUGGUAAACAAUUCAUGCAUCCCCAAGUAAAUAAAUAAAAAAAUAAAUAGGACCCAAAACAAUAGAUACAAUAUAGAUCAUCCUCUGGUCAAAAAAAAAGCCAGGAUUGGCCCAUUUUUGGCCAAGUUUAAAGUGAAACUUGCACACACAAGCCCUGUCCGAGCGACACUGGAGUCGCUCGGACAGGGCUUCUGUGUGCAAGUUUUACCUUAAACUUAGCCAAAAAUGGGCCAAUCCUGGCUUUUUUUUUUGACCAGAUCAAUUGUUACUAGUAUUUUUUGCUUCCAUUUUUUUUUUUUUUUAUCAGGGCUAUGAACUGGUUACAUCAGAAAGCAGCUUAUUUGCAAUUUGUAAAAAGAUUUGUAUAUAAUUCCACAAUUCCACAAGUAUGAACAAGAUGAUUAAAUAUAUUUGUUUAAAUCACAUUGCCAAAGUUUCUGAGGAGGCAUGAACUGUUACACCAGAAAGCUUGUUUAUUUGCAACUUAUUAGUAUAAUUCCCUAAGUAUGUACAAGAUAAUAAUAUAUAUAUUGUUUAAUCACAAAAGUUUAAUAAAUACACAAUAGGAUAAA